AGAACAGUUCUCACGUGACACACCCCAGAAUUGGGCUCCUUCCUCUUUGGUUCUGGGUGCAUCACCCGAGAACCUCA
rfam:Myotis davidii contig316240, whole genome shotgun sequence.